CCUACGGGUGGCAGCAGUAGGGAAUAUUGCUCAAUGGGGGAUACCCUGAAGCAGCAACGCCGCGUGGAGGAUGAAGGUUUUAGGAUUGUAAACUCCUUUUGUUAGAGAAGAUAAUGAAGGUAUCUCACGAAUAAGCACCGGCUAAAUCCGUGCCAGCAGCCGCCGGAAUACGGAGGGUGCAAGCGUUAAUCGGAAUCACUGGGCGUAAAGAGUACGCAGGCGGGCUUGUAAGUCAGAUGUGAAAUCCUGUGGCUUAACUACAGAACUGCAUUUGAAACUAUGAGGCGAGAGUGCGGGAGAGGUAGGUGGAAUUCUUGGUGUAGCGGUAAAAUCCGUAGAUAUCAAGAGGAAUACUCAUGGCGAAGGCGACCUACUGGAACAUUACUGACGCUGAUGCACGAAAGCGUGGGGAGCAAACAGGAUUAGAUACCCGUGUAGUC
rnacentral:rRNA from 1 species